rnacentral:tRNA from 1 species
GCCUAUGAGGCCUGGCACGCGUCGGGCUGCAGACCCGAUUUUACCCCGGGUUCGAAUCCCGGCCCCGGCU